rnacentral:tRNA from 1 species
GACAGCUUGGCCGAGUGGUUAAGGCGAUGGACCUUGAAAUCCAUUGGGGUAACCUGCGUGAGUUCAAAUCUCACAGCUGUCG